GCGGAUAUGGCGGAAUAGGCAGACGCGCUAGCUUCAGGUGCUAGUCGGGGCAACCCGGUGCAGGUUCAACUCCUGUUAUCCGCACCA
rnacentral:tRNA from 1 species